rnacentral:rRNA from 1 species
UACGUAGGGGGCCAGCGUUGCUCGGAAUUACUGGGCGUAAAGGGUUCGUAGGUGGUGCGGCAAGUUGGGAGUGAAAUCUCUGGGCUUAACCCAGAGGCUGCUUUCAAAACUGCCGCGCUCGAGUGCGAGAGAGGUCAGUGGAAUUGCAGGUGUAGCGGUGAAAUGCGUAGAUAUCUGCAGGAACACCCGUGGCGAAGGCGGCUGACUGGAUCGCAACUGACACUGAGGCGCGAAAGCGUGGGUAGCAAACAGG